CAAUUCUUUUACAUGAAUUAUUUUUCUCCUUGAAAGAGACAUCUAAUCUGCAAGAACCUGAAGUGCUACAUCAGAAUUUACAACAAUUUAUAAGCUUGUGGCACCUUCAAGAGCGAGACCUUCAUCAGAGGGUUUUUGACCUUUGGCCAUAAUAAAGAAACUUCAACUGCUGUGAUUUUCUGUAUACUGUACAGACAACCAAAUAUAAAAAUCCAGAUCUGGAGGAUAAGGAUAUCACUCAAGGCAGCGCAGAUAAUAAUCCUUUCUACUUCUAUUUUCCCCACAACAACAAAUAUGUGACAUGAG